rnacentral:rRNA from 1 species
UGAACGCUGGCGGCGUGCCUACUACAUGCAAGUCGAGCGAACGGACGAGAAGCUUGCUUCUCUGAUGUUAGCGGCGGACGGGUGAGUAACACGUGGAUAACCUACCUAUAAGACUGGGAUAACUUCGGGAAACCGGAGCUAAUACCGGAUAAUAUUUUGAACCGCAUGGUUCAAAAGUGAAAGACGGUCUUGCUGUCACUUAUAGAGGAUCCGCGCUGCAUUAGCUAGUUGGUAAGGUAACGGCUUACCAAGGCAACGAUGCAUAGCCGACCUGAGAGGGUGAUCGGCCACACUGGAACUGAGACACGGUCCAGACUCCUACGGGAGGCAGCAGUAGGGAAUCUUCCGCAAUGGGCGAAAGCCUGACGGAGCAACGCCGCGUGAGUGAUGAAGGUCUUCGGAUCGUAAAACUCUGUUAUUAGGGAAGAACAUAUGUGUAAGUAACUGUGCACAUCUUGACGGUACCUAAUCAGAAAGCCACGGCUAACUACGUG